AUCUUUCCUUCUUCAAUUUUUUCCUCUACUGUAUAUUUCUUACUGUUUCUUCACUUGUAUUGUUCAAUCUGCGAUUUUUCUUUUUCAUUUUUUUUUUGUUAGAAAUGGAACUCGAAAUAGCAAAAGUCCGUUCCUUUGAUGUUCUCGUUGUGUAUUCUUUGUUCAAUUUUUUGUGUUUGUGUACAUUAUUUCACAUUCUUACCAUUUUCUUUUGUCAGUUCCUUUUUCCUCUGGGUUUUAAUUGAUUGAACACAGUUACGUUUUCUCCACUUUUUAAUUUUUUUGGGACAACAUUGAGAAUCUCUUGAUGGGUUUCAUGUGGAAAUUAGCAUAUGAUUUUGCAGAGAUUUAAUAUUUCAGUUUUGUCUACGUUUUCAAAAAUGAAAUUUAAUUUUUUAAGUAUUAUUGAAUGUUUGUGAACAAAUUGCCCAAAUCAAACAUCUGCUCUGCACUUGAGUGUAUUUAUGGGUUUCCAGUUUCAUAUCAUGGACUCAGAUUUGAAUUGUUUAGAUUCUCCCCAUCUUCGUGUGAAUUGUAUUUCAAGAUUUUGUUCAUUGGAUUCAAUUCAUGUUGAAUGAAAAUUAACCUUACUUCGUUCUUCUUAAUGGAAAGUAGAAACAUGAAAGUUGUGAAUUUUGAUGUGGAUCAAUUUAUGAAAGACAUGGAAUCAGUAAUGAGGCACCGUGAUUUAAAAGAUACUGGUAGCGAUCUUGAUCUCGAGGAAGAGCCCUUCUCAGACAUGGAUUUUGUAAUUUCUGAAUUACUGCUUGUAUAUGAGCCAACUGAUUUGAUUUGAUGUAGAUACAAAUUAUUGUAUUAAUUUAGUGGUUUUACAAUUACUUAUUGAUGGCUCUAUUAGUUGACAAUAAAUUUUGAUUUGUUACAUAUGGACACAUACAAAAGGCAGUCUCACUAGCUGAUUUAUGUUGCUGUGCAAAUAUCACUAGGAGAUGAAAAGGCAACCUACCUUUUUCAGUCUUCCUUUCUGAUGCCAUUUGUCGUUAUUGCUAGUUUCCUAUUAUAGAACCUGAUCUUGGUGACUUGGUCACACAAAACUCAACCUUACAAGAGAAGGUUUGGAAGCAAUUGAGAGAAUAACGACUCCUAUUGCAGCUAUUGCUGUAAGUUGUAGAAUAAUAUUCAUCAAAGUGUCGAUUUGCAAUUUCUUAUUUAAUUAAUUCCUAAUGCAUGUCUGAAUUAGUCAAUCCUUGCAUUGAAGGCUGUAAUUGGGUUGUAAUAACCUAUAGUGUUUUCUUCAAUGGGGAGGAGGAAAUGAUUUCUGCAAGUGGGAAGGGGUUAAAAAAUGCAUGAAUAGAAGGGUCAUCAAGCUCAUGGUUGAAAGAGUAAAUUUGACUGGCACACAGGGUGGGAAAAGCCUAAAUCAGUUGGAUCAGCUUAGGGUUUUAUGGUUUUAAAAAAAACUCAUUAUCUCAAUCAAUUCCACAACUCUCUGGCCUUGUAAAUCUGAAAUCUCUUUACCUCAAUGAUAAUAAGCUGUCCAGCGAAAUACUGGUAGGUCUCAGUCUUACACCACCUGAAAGUAGUGUUUCUUUUUGGUAAUAGACUAUCAGGUCACAUUCUUCUGUCUUUUAUUGCUCUGAGCAGAUUGUUAGCGAUCAUAUCAGGAUGUGAUGAAAUUAAGUCAUUUUAGUUAGCCGACUUCUUUCAUCAUUUUAGUCAUUAUAAUCAUUUUAGGAUUAAAUAUGAUGUACAUAUGACAUCCAUUUUAGUAUACUCCUUUCAUUAUUUUAGUCGGUUCAAUGAUAAAAGAAGUCGAAUUCUUUUGUCAUUUUAGUGGGCUUAUUGAUUAAAGAAGCCGUCUCACAUUUAGCUCUUGUUUGAUCUCUAUUAUUUUCAAGAUACAUUUCUCCAUCUCUUCUUUUUAAUCGCAGUUUCUUCAAUAAAAUAACAUUAAGUAAACCAAUUUUUUUUUUCAUUUUUAACCACACAUUCUCCAUUCUAUUUCAAAAUGGAUUCUUAUAAUAAAAUGGGGGCUCAAACACGAUCUUAAUUAAACAUUUUAUAGGUUGUAAAAUCACAGAGUAUUUCACCAUUUUGUUCCUCUUUAUCCCUCUAGCACAUCCACUUUAUGUAUAGCAGAGGAAUUCAUUUCAAUAGGCUUAAUGAUAAAGAAGGGUAUUUGAUUCUAUCUCCUUAUCUAAUUCAUCUUUUGGAUCAGGUUAUGAAUUCAAGGAAGAUGAUAUAUUGUUAUAUGUGAUUUUGAUUGUGUACAUCCAAGUACAACAAGUAGGCUGCAUAUGGCCACUCAAAACUUGAUAAUAUACUCCAUGCUAAUGAGCUGGCGAGACGAUUAAAAGUACUCAGUUCGACGUGCAAUCUGAACAAGAUUCAUUGUCCACCUCUCAGACUUCCAUUUUCAACCUGGCCCUCUUAACUCUUUCAUAAGCAACAACAGUUUCCCUUAUCAACCAAUCUUCCUUUUAACAAGACAGAUGAAUCCAACAAUAUUUGUUGAAGGAGAUAUCUAGAAGAGGUGUCCUCUUGCAAUGUAUUUGCUGUGAAGUUAGACUAUUGACUAAUUGUCGAUGUAACUUGAUCUAGCUGGUUUUCUCACUUUUGCUCCUAUGUUCGAUAUUCUCUCAACUUCAACAAGUAAUUCUUUUUUGGAUUCUUGACAUGUGAGCUUCUCAAAUUUUCUUAUUUUUAAUACACUAUCGUUGGUGCUGGUGCGUGACAUUUUUGUCUUUAAGGUUUCAUGGUGGUUUGAUUAUGUGAAAAUAAUACAAUUGCAGUGCCAAUGGAGUAGCUCUUUAUUUUGCCCCUUCUUCACCCUCUACCUUUUGAUUACAGUUUACAGAGGUGUGAUUAAAUUUUGUGCAUUUAUUAUCUAAUGUAACUUUACGAAUUCAUUCAUUUACUGGUAAUGUUUCUCAAAGCAAUUUCAUGUGUAACAUGCAAUUUCUUAUAUUCUUAUGAUGAUUUUUCUUUAAAUUCAUGGAGUAGCAAGGAACAAGAAUGUAAAUAUCAAUUUGAAUCAGGAAAACAUCACGAUUAAUGGUGUUGUAGAAUAAGGAGAAAUGCACCAAGAUUCAAUAUAUGCAGGAGAAACUAAUAAUUUUAAGUAAGAAUUGGAGAAAUAAUAGUGAAAGACUAUUGUCUUUUAGGUUGGAGACUAUUUCUACACCAAAAAAUUGAUUAAUUAAUUAACAACACUUAUAAUUUUCAUUUCUACUACUUCAUUUUGAGUUUUAGAUUAUGUUAUUCUGAUAACUUCACUUAUAUAUUUCAUCUCAAACAGAUUCAAUCUUGAUUUUUGAGGAUCAUUUGUAUCUCUGGAGAGUCCAUUGCUCAUGUUUUUCAAUUUUUUAAAGUCUAUAAAAGGAUACAGAGGUUUUGAUGAAAAUUAAAGGAUAUAUGUGGCUCAAAAUGGCUGCAUUAUUCUGUGAUCUGAUCUUUAUCUGGUUGUUUUAUCAAUAAGGAGAAAAAGUUCUAGGUCUUUUUGAAAAUCAUCUCAAUAGGUUUCAAGCUGUGAAACAACUAUCGACAUCUGCAACAACAAAAAGUAUGAUUAUCUAUUAAAUUUUCACUUCCAUACGGAUGAGCAGGGUCAACACCACUGUCAUCUAUGAAGCGAACUGAAUCGGGCCUGACAUCUGAGGUAUGCUUAAGUUUGAAUGUUCCAUUUGUUUUAUUCAUAUCCUAUCACCGUAGGCAUUCGAAUAAGAACAUAUUGUUUUCGUAGAUACUUUUCUAACUACUACCUAUGAGUUCUAAAAUAUUCAAAAUAAAAAUAAAAAGAGUUCUUCGACAUUCAACGAAUGAUUUCCUUUUAAUUUUAUUUCUGUCUUUUCAAUGUCCUUUUGUCCAUAUUUCAUGUGGUUUCUUUCUCCAAUAUUACCUUAGUGUUUGAAUUGAGAAAACAUUAUUUUCUUCAGAAGCUCCUGAUUACCACUUUAAUUUUAAGUUCAACGAGAGCAUAUCGAUAUGGUGAGAUGAUUAUCUAUCGUCUUGUCAAGUUCUUUGUGAAUCAUCCUAACAUAUAAUGCCACUUAUUGGCGAUGAUGUGCAUUCCAAUUUGUGGAUUACAUGUUUUAAUGCACACAUUAGAGUAAUAGUUACAUAGUUUCUUUCAUGGAUGCAUCAAAUUGCAUUUAUCCUGCUUCCAUUUUCGUGUAGGUUAUUUCAUAUGAAUAAUAGAUUAUUCUUGUUCUUACAAAGUACAUUUUACAUGAAAAUAUGCAGUUUUCUUAUUUCGAAACUUAAUAAGUUGUUCUAUGUUCUUCUACCUUGAUGAAGAAUGGGAAGGAGUUUCUUUUUUCAGACACUAGGAUUCAUUAAAGAUAUAACAAUGACAAUGGUAAGUUCCGUCAUUAAUAUUUAUGGAUUUUUUAUUGCUUUAUUUUCUUAAUUACUCAUAUAAAUCAAUUUUCUUCUUUUGUAUCUUUUCAUGUCUUGAUCAAUAUUGGUUGAGAUGAAUCAUCAAUUAGCCUGUGUCCAAAAGAUGGUGGCUGUGGGAAGCUAAACAAUAUUGAUCAUAUUCUCUCAACACUGCCCCAUGUUUCACGACAGUGAAUUUCCAACUUCAUUUUACAUAUCCACAUUAUUUUAGUUUGUGUACCGAAAGUAUCCAUUAUCAUUGUCUGCUAUCCUCUUUUCGAUGGAAUUGUUGCCUUUGAUAAGACCUUCAACUAUUGACCAGCAAAGUGGUUAGAGAGUUCUAGUUUGGUAGUAAUUUAUAUUUUGUAUCAUUCUGAGGAAUCAAGAUUUUUAUGGGUUGGGAUAUAAGCAUGGCCAUCAAGCUCCAUGUUGAUACUUUUGAUUCUAUUAGUUUUUAUCAUAGGCAUAAUAUAGUACUAAAGAAGCGAAGAAGUUGGACUAAUUCUUGUGUUCUAAUUGUUCAUUUGGAGAUGAUUCGAAAAUAUCUUUGAACUCAAUCUGUGGAUCACCAACUAGUGACGGCAAGGUAUAAGUGCAUUACUAUAACUUGCAAGUUGUA